AUGUCGGACGACGAGGACUGCCGGACGACGGCGGCGCUGCUGGCGUCGACGUCGUCUAACCACCGGGCGGUGCUGCUCCACGGCAGCCUGGACAUCUGGAUCGACGAGGCGUGCAACCUCCCGAACAAGGACAUCCUGUCCAACACCAUGGGCGGCCUCCUCAAGAGCUGCACCUCCGACCCCGGCUCCAAGUCCACCAGCGACCCCUACGUCACCGUGCUGGUCGCCUCCGCCACGGUGGCGCGCACCUUCGUGAUCCAGGACGACGAGAACCCCAAGUGGCGGCAGCACUUCCUGGUGCCCGUGGCGCACGAGACCGCCGCGGUGAGCUUCGUCGUCAAGGACAGCGACGUGAUCGGGGCGGAGCUGAUCGGCGCCGUGGCCAUCCCCGCGGAGUCCCUCCUGGCCGGCGACCGCGUGGACGGCGUGUACCCGGUGCUGGAGUCGUCUGGGAAGCCGUGCCGGCCGGGCGCCACGCUGCGGAUGUCGGUGCAGUACGUGCCCGUGGCGAGGCUCACCAUGUACAGCCACGGCGUGACGCCGGGCCCGGACUUCCCCGGCGUGCCUAACACCUACUUCCCGCUCCGGCGCGGCGGGCGGGUGACGCUGUACCAGGAUGCGCACGUGCCCGGCGACGGGCAGUGCCUGCCGGAGAUCCGGCUCGGGAACGGGCAGCUCUACCGGCACGGGCAGUGCUGGCACGACGUGUACGACGCCAUGUCGCAGGCGAAGCAUCUCAUCUACAUCACCGGGUGGUCGGUGUUCCACACGAUCCGCCUGGUGCGCGACGGCGGCGACAAGGCGCGGCCGCUGGGCGAUCUGCUCAAGAAGAAGUCGCAGGAGGGGGUCCGGGUGCUGCUGCUCGUCUGGGACGACCCCACGUCCAGGAGCGUCCUUGGCAUCCAGAUGGAAGGUUACAUGGGCACACGAGAUGAGGAGACGCGUAGGUUUUUCAAGCAUUCUUCGGUUCAGAUACUGCUCUGCUCACGAUCUGCCGGGAAAAGGCACAGCUGGGUGAAGCAAAAGGAGACAGGAACUAUUUUUACCCACCAUCAGAAAACGGUGAUCGUCGACGCCGAUGCCGGCAACGGGAAGCGGAAGAUAGUCGCUUUCGUCGGAGGCCUUGAUCUAUGUGGUGGGAGAUACGACACUCCAAGGCACAAUCUGUUUCACACUCUUCACACGGUGCACAAGGAGGAUUAUUACAACCCAAACUUCGCGGUAACUGAUGAGCGCGGGCCGAGAGAACCAUGGCAUGAUUUGCAUUCCAAGAUCGACGGCCCGGCAGCAUUCGAUGUCCUGAAGAACUUUGAGGAGCGUUGGUCAAAAUCAUCCAAGCGCCACGGGUCCAAGAAAUUGUCGAAAUCAUGUAAUGACACGUUGCUCUGGAUCGAAAAGAUAUCUGAGAUCGCAGCUAUUGACGAUGAUGUAUACUCCAAUGACAAUGACACGGAGAGAUGGGAUGUUCAGAUUUUCCGAUCGAUCGACUCGAACUCCGUCAAGGCUUUUCCCAAGGAUCCACGAGAAGCAACCAUUCAGAAUCUUGUUUGCGGGAAAAAUGUACUAAUCGAUAUGAGCAUACACACAGCCUACGUUACCGCCAUCCGAGCAGCCCAACACUUCAUCUAUAUUGAAAAUCAGUAUUUCCUUGGCUCUUCAUUUCAAUGGGAUUCACAUAGAGAUCUUGGCGCGAAUAAUUUAAUUCCGAUCGAGGUAGCCCUGAAAAUUGCUGACAAGAUCUACGCGAACGAGAGAUUUUCGGCAUACAUAAUAAUUCCGAUGUGGCCUGAAGGCAACCCAACCGGUGCUCCUACACAGAGAAUUCUUUACUGGCAGAAGAAAACAAUGCAGAUGAUGUACGAGAUAAUCUACAAGGCAUUGAAAGACACGGGAUUGAAUGGUUCAUAUGACCCACAGGACUACCUGAAUUUCUUCUGCCUCGGCAACCGAGAAGCGGUGGAAAAUGCCGCUUUCUCCGAAGCAUUUUCACACACCAACCCUCAGGACCAAGCUAGGAAGAACAGGAGGUUCAUGGUGUACGUGCACUCCAAGGGCAUGAUCGUGGACGACGAGUACGUGAUCAUCGGGUCGGCCAACAUCAACCAGAGGUCCAUGGAGGGGACGAGGGACACCGAGAUCGCCAUGGGCGCGUACCAGCCCCACUACACCUGGUCCAACAUGUUCUCUGCUCCCCGCGGACAGAUCUACGGGUACAGGAUGUCGCUGUGGGCGGAGCACACCGGGGGCGUGGAGGCGGUCUUCGAGCGGCCGGACACGCUGGAGUGCGUGCGGCGGGUGCGGGGCAUCGGGGACGCCAACUGGAAGCGGUUCGUGGCGGAGGAGGUGACCGAGAUGCGGGGGCACCUCAUCAGGUACCCCGUCGCCGUCGAAUGGAACGGCAAGGUGGGGCCGCUGCAGGGGUGCGCCGCCUUCCCGGACGUCGGCGGCAACAUCUGCGGCUCCUUCUCCGGCAUCCAGGAGAACCUCACCAUAUGA
rnacentral:rRNA from 1 species